rnacentral:rRNA from 1 species
CCUACGGGGGGCUGCAGCAAGGAAUUUUCCCCAAUGGGCGCAAGCCUGAGGGAGCAACGCCGCGUGCAGGAUGACGGCUUUCGGGUUGUAAACUGCUUUUGGGUGGGACGAUAGUGACGGUACCACCCGAAUAAGCCCCGGCUAACUCCGUGCCAGCAGCCGCGGUAAUACGGAGGGGGCAAGCGUUGUCCGGACUUACUGGGCGUAAAGGGUCCGUAGGCGGCCUGCUGCGUCGCUGCUGAAAGCGCCCCGCUUAACGGGGCGAGGCGUGGCGA